AUUGUUGUAAGCCAAAAUUUUAUUUCUAGUAUGGUCAAGACAUAACAAAAUGAGGGGGAAAUAAUGUCAACAUACCAUUGGAAAAUCUCGCUCAAAAUCAUCCAAUACAGAAGGGAUCAAAAUGCUCGUCGGGCCAUCUUUUUAGGUUUCUUCACAUAACUAAGGCGAAUUUUCUUUAGUUUUGUCCUCUUUCUAGCCAUUUUCUCUGGAAACGUCUCCCUCUUCUUUUCCUCCUUCUUGGCAGGGGCGGAUUUCUUCUUUGCAUAUUUUGGGUGCACCAUAUAGGCCUUUGGUUCAACUGCCAGAUCAUUGCUCUCGGCUUCCUUAUAUAGUGCAUUUGCUUUGUCAACCCGAUUAUGAGCAACCAUUUUUCCGAUCAACAAGUCGUAUGUCUUUAACCCCGGUUUGCAACCAUCCUCUUUCAUCUUUGCAAAGACACUCAUAGCAUGAUCCAAUCUUUCAAUCCCACAUAAUAUUUUCAAGAAUUCAUAAUAGGCCUUCUUAUCAAGCGCAUCCCCAAAUCCUGCAGAUCUCAUCCUAUCAAUCAUUUCAUCACCUUCUCCAACUCUAGCAGCCUGGUACAAGCUCCUAAUAAGAGUGAGAAACGUUGUUUCAUCGGG
rnacentral:misc_RNA from 1 species